rnacentral:rRNA from 1 species
AGUGAACGCUGGCGGUAGGCCUAACACAUGCAAGUCGAACGGCAGCACAGUAAGAGCUUGCUCUUACGGGUGGCGAGUGGCGGACGGGUGAGGAAUACAUCGGAAUCUACUUUUUCGUGGGGGAUAACGUAGGGAAACUUACGCUAAUACCGCAUACGACCUACGGGUGAAAGCAGGGGAUCUUCGGACCUUGCGCGAUUGAAUGAGCCGAUGUCGGAUUAGCUAGUUGGCGGGGUAAAGGCCCACCAAGGCGACGAACCGUAGCUGGUCUGAGAGGAUGAUCAGCCACACUGGAACUGAGACACGGUCCAGACUCCUACGGGAGGCAGCAGUGGGGAAUAUUGGACAAUGGGCGCAAGCCUGAUCCAGCCAUACCGCGUGGGUGAAGAAGGCCUUCGGGUUGUAAAGCCCUUUUGUUGGGAAAGAAAAGCAGCAGGUUAAUACCCCGCUGUUCUGACGGUACCCAAAGAAUAAGCACCGGCUAACCUCGUG